GGCGGACUGACCUUUUGCGCCAGCCGCGUGCUGAAAGGGCUGCGCUUUUUGCGCCAUCAUCAGCUUCAUCCAGAGAGGCAGGUCCAUCUGGUCCCACCUCAUAACCGGAUUGGCCGCCAGCCGCUGCCGGAACUGUUCGUCAUACCGCCACCAGGCCAGCCCGCCAUAGGUGCGGUAUGCCUCCCAAAUCCCUUCCAAGUAGCGAAACAGAGAAGAGCACGCGCCCGGCGAUUUCUCCCC